GUCACCACCCCAUCCCCAGGGAUGGGCGGAGGGGGUGGCGGCAGCGACAGCAGGGGAGGCAGCUGGAUUAAACAGGUCACCUGCAGGUAUUUUAUGCUGGGGUUUGUAAGGAAGGUGAUAACUGUCGCUACUCCCAUGACCUCUCUGACAGUCCGUGUGGUGUAGUGUGCAAGUAUUUUCAGUGAGGGUACUGUAUUUAUGGAGACCGCUGCAGAUAUGAACAUAGCAAGCCAUUGAAACAGGAAGAAGCAGCUGCUACAGAGCUAACUACAAUAUCAUCCCUUGCUGCUUCCUCAAGUCUCUUGUCGUUAGUCGGACCACUUGUUGAAAUGAAUACAGGUGAAGCUGAGUCAAGAAAUUCAAACUUUGCAAUUGUAGGAGCAGGUUCAGAGGACUGGGUGCAUGCUAUUGAGUUUGUUCCUGGGCAACCCUACUUUGGCUAUAUUAGAUUUUCAGUUCCCUUGUAGUUCAUGUAUCUGUCUUAUUAGUUUGGACCUUUACCACCCUCUUGAAAAUUUUCAGCUGUGCCUUCCUGCACUGAAGCACCUCUGCAGGACUCAGUGACCAAGGAAGAAUCAGAGAAAGAGAAAAACUGCUGUGGAAACCAAGAAGCAGCUGUGCCCCUGUGCUGCAGUGAGAGAGUGCUGAGAUGGGGAGAACUGUGUGCCUCUCCAUGGAGAUUCAUGUGACAUGUGUGGACUGCAGGUCCUGCAUCCCAUGGCUGCUGCCCAGAGAUCACAGCAUAUAAAAUUGUGCAUUGAGGCCCAUGAGAAGGACAUGGAGCUCUCACUUGCUGUGCAGCGCAGCAAGGACGUGGUGUAUGGGAUCUGCAUGGAGGUGGUCUAUGAGAAAGCAAACCCCAGUGAGUGCUGCUUCGGGAUUCUCUCCAACUGCAACCAUGCCUACUGUCUCAAGUGCAUUCGCAAGUGGAGCAGUGCUAAGCAAUUUCAGAGCAAGAUUAUAAAGUCCUGCCUAGAUUGCCAGAUCACAUCUAACUUUGUCAUUCCAAGUGAGUCCUGGGUGGAGAAAGAAGAGAAGCAGAAACUCAUUCAGAAAUACAAGGAGGCAUUGAGCAACAAGGCUUGCAGGUAUUUUGAUGAAGGACGUGGGAGCUGCCCAUUUGGAAGGAAUUGUUUUUACAAGCAUGCGUACCCUGAUGGCCUUACAGAGAAGCCACAGAGACAGAAAGUGGGAACAUCAAGCAGAAACUGGGUCCAAUGAAGGAACCACUUCUGAGAACUCACUGAGGAAAGAGAUAGCAGCAACCCUUUUGACAAUGAUGAAGAGGUUGUCACCUCUUGAGGUGGGCGAGAUGUUGCUUAUGCUUUUGGCUGCAGGUGGGGAUGAUGAACUGGCAGACUCUGAAGAUGAGUGGGACUUGUUUCAUGAUGAGCUGGAAGAUUUUUAUGAUUUGGAUCUAUAGCAACCUUGUGUGGCGUGUGAACUGGUCUGCUGACCCCAGACAGCAGCUGUCCCCUGUGCUGGUGUGGCAGUGCCUGUGUUCUCUCCUAGGUAGGCCUAUCAACUCCAGGUGUUGUAAAAAUUUUUACCCAGGGCCUGUCUUCUCAACCCUUCACCUUUCCCCGAGGAGUGUGUUAUUUUCCCUGUUGAAAACAGUUAAAACUUAAAGUUAGUUUUUUGUAACAC